rnacentral:rRNA from 1 species
UACGUAGGGGGCUAGCGUUGUUCGGAAUUACUGGGCGUAAAGGGCGCGUAGGUGGCCUUCUAAGUUGAACGUGAAAUCCCUGGGCUCAACCCAGGAACUGCGUCCAAGACUGGGAGGCUUGAAUCCGGGAGAGGGAUGCGGAAUUCCAGGUGUAGCGGUGAAAUGCGUAGAUAUCGUAAGGAAGACCAGUGGCGAAGGCGGGUCUCUGGACAGUUCCUGACGCUGAGGCACGAAGGCCAGGGGAGCAAACGGG